rnacentral:lncRNA from 1 species
AAAAAGUGAAUAAAAUUAAAACUAAACAGUGAAAGAGUGCGCAAUUCGUGGGUUGAACCCACUACAAUUAUCCAUAGCGUAAUAGACGGUGAGACUACAUAAGCAUAGUCAAAGCAACCAAAGUACAUUUAUUACAUGAUAGUGAUAAGUUCAUACGUCUAAAACAGAAGGAAAUGUCAGACCUGCCGGGAUUCUUCGAGUGCCACAAAAAGUACGGUUAUCUAGGUCCUGGAGGGGCGAAAAACAAAGUUGAGUGGGUCAGCAAAACAAUGCUUAUAAGAGAACCUUUAUCUUUGAAUAUACUAACCCCUCGCCGUAAAAUAAGUAUAGUUUCCUCAAAACAGACUACGUAAGUAUGAAAUCCAAUAUAACAACAAUAUAAUCAGAAAUAUGCCAAGUAAAUGAUAUAUCAUAUGCCACAGUAAUAAUCUUGUGAUAAUCAAUAUAAUAAAGUGCUCAUCCAUAUAAGCUGACUAGGGGUGGGUUCGGUUCCGUUCGGUUCGGUUUUUUGCCAAAAUCGGAAACCAAACCGAAAUUAAUGUUCGGUUCGGUUCGGUUCGAUUUUCUAUCGGUUUGCUUUCGGUUCGGUUUCGGCCCGGUUCGGUUUUUUUUUUUUUUUUUUUUUUUUUUUUUUUUUUUUGUGUUUCCCAAUAGCAAAAAAAAAUUCUAAGAAAACAACUUGUAGCCAUUUUGUAAUACAUCUUCCAAAGGAGUAUAAAUAAAAUCAAAGUCCCAUUUCAACAUAAUUGAUAAAAUAAGCUAUUUGAUUUUGAUCUUUGAACUUGAGCUUGAGGCCCUUGAGACCUUUAACGCCUUUGACUUCAUCUAAUUCACACAAAAUAAUAAGAAGAUAGUAGUUAGUACUACAAACUUAUACAAAAGUAAAUGUUAAUUAAAAUCUGGAAGGCCAAUGAUACAAAAUCAAGACAAAAUCUGGAAGGCCAAUCAUCCUUUACAGUUUACAGCAAGACAAAAUCAAGUCUCCCAACAUUGAAUUACAACGCACCUAUUUAUAAUAACCUAAUCCUACAACUAUUCCACAACAACAAAGGCAAGAAUCAAACUGAUAUCGAAGAAAGGAAACAGGUUCAUGGUGCAUUGAACUAUACAAAACAAAUGCAGCAUAACCCAUUAUGCAUAAACAACAAAGUAUAAGUAUAAACAAAAUAUAUGAUUAGUCCCCUUGAUAAAUAGUAAUUAGUUCCAUAACUUCCUGAGACCUAUCAUUCUCCUUUUACAUGACUAUUACGCGGCUUGCAAUCCCAUUAUACAUAAACAACCAUCACACUAAAACCCAUCACAGAUGCGGCUUGCAAAUGCAAUCCCUUUUUUUCUUUCUACAACUAAAGGCUAAAGGGGCUCCACUCAACCAUACCUGUAUAUACUUCCAGAUAAUUAGAGCCAAAAGGUCCAAACAACCACAGAGAGCAAACAUUCAAACCAAACCUCUAAAACUAUAUAAGCCACGAUAUAUCUCUGUUACAUAAUCCAAUCAGAAAAAAAAAAUCACCAAACCUUAAUAACCCAGAGGAUGAAAACCCAACAAAAAUAGAGCCCUAAAAUAGUCAAGCUCUGAACCCCUUCAUUUCCCAUAAUUCCUCAACAACCAAACAUACUUCAAACCGAAACCGAAUAAUCACAUCCAGUCAAACACGUUAAAAAUAUAACCAUAAUCCUAAAAUCCCAAAACACAAAUCGAAUAAAAUCGCAAUACAAUUCACAAGAAGCAAAAUCAAAAUAUCCAAAAAAGACAGAAUAAAAUCAAUUACAAAACAAAUCAAAUUAAAAAAUAAAUCUAAACAAGAAGGGAAAAAAAUUAUAGGGGAUCAGAUCGGAAGAAAAGGAAUCGAACAGAAAAUUAAACUUCAGAGUGUGAGUGAGACUAACCUUUUGCUGUGAUUGAGAGUGAGAAGGGUCGCCGUUGGGAAUGAGAGAGAGCGUUUGAGAGAGUGAUUGAAUUGAAGACUGAGAGAGAGGAGGCUGCUGCGCAAAGAAGAAAGUAGCGAAGGGGAGAGAAAGUGUGUAGAAGAAAAGUGAAAACUAAAAUGGAAGUCAACUAGGGUUUGUAAACUUUAGAAAUUUUAUAAAGCCUAAAAUUAGAAUACCUAUAAAUAAAUUAGUUGUACAAUUAUAGCAACACAAAGCCAACAACAAGUUGGUAUGAAACAACUAUCCGAACUUAGAGGACAGGGGUUCGAAUCCUCAAGCCAUCAGGUUUUGAGGUAUUUGUAUAUGAUUUUCAUAUAUCGGUUCGGUUCGAUCCGGUCCGGUUUUUGGACCUCAAAAAUCGAAACUGAACCAACCAAAUUCGGUUCGGUUCAGUUUGACAGCUUCGGUUCGGUUUUUUUCGAUCUCGGUUCGGUUUUCGGUCCGGUUUUUUUUUUCGGUUUUUUAUUUUUCCAACCCACCCCUAAAGCUGACACACAAGUUUGAACAGAUAGUUUCUGACACGAACAUGACUGAGUGUAAUCAAUAUGCUCUAGUACUACGAUCACGUGAAGACUGGUGCAAAAGCACAUCACAUAUAAGUCGGAUUGCCUAGUGCAAUCUACCUGACAGGACUGGCACCUAAGCUUGGAUCCAAGGUGAGCAAACGGUACGGAUGUGAAUAUACACGUGAAGGACUGGCCCUGGCCCUGGCCCUAGGGCGAGUACUAACACCGGGUGCAGCAAGAUGAGCAUGUACAAAUAUAUAUGAAUGCCAUAACAGUAAUAUCACAACCAUAUAGCAGCAUUUUUCACAAUUUAUAUCACAAUAAUGAUACUAGGCAAUAUAAGCAUAAAAGUGAAGUACAUACGCAUUUAUGGAAACUAUAAAUAUAUAUAGGUAUAAAACAACUGCCUACUCACAAGUGUGUCGCUGGGUCGUAGCCUUCGAGCCUAGCUUGACCUCGAAAAUCCUCGAAAUAAGUUUCCCUUAUAUGUGAAAUAACUAAAAUACAUUAAUUAAAGCACAUAACAGAAACCUAAAUAAAACCCACAUAGUUUGCUCAAACCUAGGGUUUAAAUAUAUGAAAUCGAUCUACUCGACGACACGAACACACACGUGUCAACCACGCACCGACCAAAGUGG